UACAGAGGGGGCGAGCGUUGUUCGGAAUUACUGGGCGUAAAGGGCGCGUAGGCGGCCUUCUAAGUCGAACGUGAAAUCCCCGGGCUCAACCCGGGAACUGCGUCCGAUACUGGGAGGCUUGAAUCCGGGAGAGGGAUGUGGAAUUCCAGGUGUAGCGGUGAAAUGCGUAGAUAUCUGGAGGAACACCGGUGGCGAAGGCGGCAUCCUGGACCGGUAUUGACACUGAGGCGCGAAAGCCAGGGGAGCAAACGGG
rnacentral:rRNA from 1 species